GAUGAAGAACGCAGCGAAAUGCGAUACGUAAUGUGAAUUGCAGAAUUCAGUGAAUCAUCGAGUCUUUGAACGCACAUUGCGCCCCCUGGUAUUCCGGGGGGCAUGCCUGUCCGAGCGUCAUUGCUGCCCUCAAGCACGGCUUGUGUGUUGGGCCUCCGUCCUCCUCCCGGGGGACGGGCCCGAAAGGCAGCGGCGGCACCGCGUCCGGUCCUCGAGCGUAUGGGACUUCGUCACCCGCUCUUGUAGGCCCGGCCGGCGCUUGCCGACACAUCAAUCUUUUUUCCAGGUUGACCUCGGAUCAGGUAGGGAUACCCGCUGAACUUAAGCAUAUCAAUAAGCGGAGGA
rnacentral:misc_RNA from 1 species